GAGAGGGACUUGAAAGAUAACGAUAAAGAAGAGAAAGAGAGAAGAAAUGAAUGAAAUGAUAGCAGCCCAUCUUCUUGAAGAAGCCAUUCUCAAAUUUCAUGCCCACUGCUUUAGUGUUAAACAGGAAAAACUAAUUUUUGAAAUAAUUAAUAAAUAAAUAAAUAAAGCCAAGCCCCCAGGCUCGACCAAGUCCGGCGCAGAAU
rnacentral:lncRNA from 1 species